AAUAUUUUUUAUCAUUUUAAUGUCUGAUAGUUACUAAUCGUAAAUUCAGUAAAAAAUAUUACAAAACCCAAUACUUUUUACAAGUUUGUCGAUAUUAGACAGUAUUCAGUAAAAAGUACUAGAAAAUCCAAUGAAUCUAAUAAGCUUGUAGCGCUUUUUGAAAUGUAUAAGAAAAUCCAGUACCUUUGUUCGUUUAGUUUCGGUACAUGUUUUGACUUUGUAGGAAGUAAGUUUAGCUGCCGGUUAACAUAAAAUGCAGCAAAAUAGAACGGAAAUGUGUUUCUAAGAUAAAUAGUUUAUGCAUCAGAUUGGUGCGUGCGUGUCAACAGAAUCAGUCUAGAAUGAGCCCUGAAAACGGGCCGUUAUAAGACUAUCCACAGUGCGGAAUCAAAAAAUCCUUAAGCGGCGGAGAAUCAAACAACUAGGGAGAAAAAAAAAAUCUCCAAAAUGUUUUGAGUAUCUUCAUCUGAUUUAAACGAAUAAAUUUGACAUCUGGCCAGAGUAACUUGUGGGUGCAAGAUUUUGAUCAGGCGAAAGCUCAAAAUGUUCAUCAUUCAACAUCAGCAUAGGGGGAAUAAUUAAACUACAACUUCAUAAAGUAGUUCAAUACCGGUGUUCCUUUAUUCAACUCCCAGCGAGAUUUGCCUCUUUGCCUGUAUCUGACACUGGAGUAACCCGGACCAGAAGAACUUCCGGACCUGUACCUCCGCGAUCACGGAAAGUUUUUAAUCGAUGAUGACAUAAAAACGGAUAACGAGAAAGCGAGGUGAAUCCUCAUGCUUCAACAGAACGGCUGAGAACAAAAACCGAAUCCAGAAAAUGCUCCAAAUUACAUGUUCAAUUGUUUUUAACGUAAAAUUUUCUAUAACAUACAGAGACCAGAGCUGGAUAUAUUUUUUUAGACGGGAUUUAUCUUCUAUCAAUAAAAUUUGUAUAAUGAAUCUCAAUGAUGUCAUUUAUUUGCGCAGCAGGGAAAAAAACUUAAAUUUAUGAAUAAAUUGAACUACGACAUUUUUUAUUACAUCUAUGCACUGUUGGUUUUACUUCUUUUAAUAGUAAAUUAUAUCAUCUUGGCCCACUUUGAAAUUCAUUGAAAUUUCCUAUAAAAUUUAUCACCCCUAUUUCGACCAUGCAUUCGUAAAAAGUAUUGGAUUUUCCUUUAGUGCAAAAACACUAAAAUUCCCAAUAAAC